GUCACACCUCCUGAACAGAAGGAGGAAACCCUCCCGCAAUCGCCGCUCCGCUCGCCCGUAGAUCUUCUGUCUGUCGCCGCUCACGCCGCAGUCGAGAACCACCUCUCUCGUCCUCUCCAGAUUCCAGCGCCGCCAUCCUCUCCCCUCCCACGUCACCACUCUCGAUCCAAGAGUGCUCCACCUCGAUCUCGACACAUCGGUAGUGUGUUCGUGAACUUAGACGGCGACUGAGCAUAUGGUGUUGUGGAUGUGAUUGGCCGCCGAUGGAGCGGGGUGCCCCAGCGGUGGUCAGAAGGCCUCCAUCGCGCGCCACGCACGGUGAGCAGGCCAGCGGGACUCGAUCUGUGGAGGAGGCCUAUUGGGCAACGGGAGCGGUAAGGAAUCGAUCUGUGGUUUUUUUUCCUUCAAGCUUCGGGCGUACGGGGAAGGGGAAAAUCUCUCAAAUUCGAUCAGAACCUAGCCGCUCUCACGCCGGGGUCUCCGUCGACAUACCACUUCCCCGACCACCUCGCGCCUCGCUGGGACUCACGCGAUUCGGCCGCGUCCUUGGUCCGUCGGUCCGUCUAGAGCUUAGCGCUGGGGCGGCGUCGCCCGGUACUGCCCCUCAUCCUGCUCUCCGAGGGCGUGGCCACCGGGUGGUGGAUGAGGUAGGGCGGCUGCGGUCUCCGGCCGUCCGACGAACUCUUUCCCUGUCUUCAAGUUUCACUGCUGUUUCGCCCCUACUAAGAUUUUUAUCAAGCUCCGCCACUGGCCUCCCGGAUACAACUCCACCAGACAUGCUGGCCAUCGUCAUGCGCGCCUCCCACAGGUAGAUGCUCCGGCAGAUGGUCCAUGAUGUUGCGGCCAGGGAGGGCAUUCUCCUUAGAGAGGAGAAGGUCCCUCACGAAGUUCUACCACUGUUAGAACAACCACCUCGAGGGCUCGUGCUGCCGAAGAAGCCGGUGGGUACCAUCCUCCAGUCAGCCCACGCCGUCGAGCACGAGUUCUAUGUUGAGCAAGCUUACGAAGCUGUAGCGAAAAGCCAAUUCAUGGCGAGGCAGGCGUCCGGACAUCGCCGCUUCGCCGGAGACGACCCUCCCCAAAUUGGACGGCUCCUAGCGGGAGUCAAUAGGUUGUCACCGCCGCUAUGCCGUCGACGGCGCUCCACGCCGUGGCCGAUUCCAGAGACAAAGACGAGGAGGGGGAGCCCGCCGACGUGGGCUGCGAUUUGAUUCGUCCAUAACAACUGCCAAUUUCCCCAAGGUCAGAUCCAAUAAUCCAUCCCAAAAUCUUUCAAAUCUCUCUGAUCAUCGAGUACUUAGUCCAUCUCCUAGGCGCUGCUAGGUAUUUUUUGCUCCUGAUCCACGUGAACACUUUUGUUGUGUAGGAGGUUUCUAUGUAUAGAUGAACUCCCUUUUUCUUUAACUGAUCUUAAAAAUAAAUGUCCUUUCACUUCAUGUUACCAACCAACAUAGGAGAUGAAUAUUAUAAAGUGUUGUAGCA